AAAAGAAAUGUUUGAUAAUAGGAUUGUUGAAUAUAAUGUGGCUGGUUUUACAGAAGAUGAUUUUACAGUAGAAGUUUUCUCAUGUCCGUUCUUGGUUGUUAACGAGUCAGAUGGGGCUAGCGACUCGAUGGUCCGGCUUAUUUCGAGCUGUGUGUUAGUGUUUGAUAACGUUGACAAAGCCAACACCGCACUGUUCGACUUUAUCCUGCGGAUUCUAGAGAUUGGGUCAUAUGUCGAUGCCUCUGGAAGGCAGAUUGUUUUCUCUAACACACUGAUUCUCUUCACAUCACGUGUGGAGUUUCCCAGGUGCCGCUGUGCAAGAGUUGUUUGGGAAACUUCUUUCAAGCACCCUUUCAAGGAAUUGUUAAAAAGUGUAGGGGAAGUACAACAGCCACGGUGCGAUUGCAGUUUUCAUGAAUGUCUAACUGAUGCAGAGAAGCAGUUCAAGCCUCGGUUUUUUGAUUCUCUGGGUGACGUAAUUUUGAUCCCUUGGCUAUCUCUUUCUCAGUUUAUGUCAGUUUUCAGAAUACAAGUCCGCGAUGCCGCCUCCUAUUCGAAGAAAAAGUGGUUGUCUACCCGUCUGCCGCCGUGUUUCGUUAUAUUUGGAGGAAUAAGUAUGACAAGAUGUAAGAGGAAGGUGGUCAUGUAGUUAAGCAUUUUGUGGAGGAGUUAGUUUCCAAGUUGAGCAAUGUGGAUAGCCAGUCCAUAGUAUACAUUGAUGAGUUGGUGGGUACCAAUGAAUUGUCUGUCAGAACUCAGAAAUUAAGUGAUGUGACAGUUGCCCAUGACUUUAAGACGUUCAAAGUAUCCUUGGGAAAGUCGAGGAUCCUCUACCAGUUCGAAAAAGAACAUGCUAAGCAGAUAUACAAACUAAGCAUUGUUUACUUUGAUCUUGUCAAUUUGUUGGAUUCAAAGCAUGAUGUCCGACUUCCUUGUAUUCUGAAUAGUUUACUGGAAUUGCAUGCUAUGGUAGAUAAUUUAUUGGCCAGACCCAAAGAUUGGAGAGAGCUGGUGCCACUUGAGUACUUCGCGUAUUCACAUGGCGUGGGGGAUGUUGUGCAUGAGAGGGUCAACAGGGCUAGGUACACGUCUGAGGCUAUGUUUUCCAAAAUGCGAAGUAAAUUGGUUGAGCAAGUUACACCUGUCCAGACAGUCGCAAAGGCUCUAUUUAAGUGCAUUGAUGCCGAUCAUGAUCAUCUCAAGGACAAGCAUUGUCAACAAGUUGCAUCUUUCCUUUGCACAGGACUAACAAGUAUCGGUCAAAGACAGCUUGUGGAUGACCUUUCAAAGUACUUAGUUGCAGAUGACGGGACAACGAUGUUGGUUGAAGUGGAUUUGGCUACCUGCACUAGCCCAAACUCUUUUCUCAGGAAUGAACGUGGUCUCUUGCUGAAGAACACUAUUUUGAUGAGACCCUAUAGCGUCAUAGUGGUUUUUAACCUACAAUUGGCACAUCCAUCUGCUUUUACCAAGAUUAUUUCCAUUCUAGAUGAUGGUUUGGUGUCCGACAAUGAUGGGACUGUUAUAGAUUUCCGGAAAACUAUUAUCAUUUUUGUCCUGGAUCAAGGAAAUAAAGGUUUAAUUUCCAAGCUUGUCGGUGGAGGUCCAUAUGGAUCCAUUAAUCGGGAUCGAAACAUGGACAAGGAUCCUAUAGGCUUUAGAUUUGAGGUACUUAACCGGGUGGAUGAAAUUAUGCUUUUUAAUGAAGAUUUACUCCACGGUGCUCGAUUGUUCUAUGAAAGAGGGCAGGCAUCUCGUAAUGACUUCACCCGGGAUAAAUGAUGCAUUGGUUAAUCUGUUUUACAAUGGCAAGAGAGAAGUGGAUGGAAACAACAGGAACUUAUUUGAUGAAUUAAUGAGAAUCACUGAAUAUGCAUGUAUGUCCCAACUCAGGAGAGGACCCGUCAAAUUUUGACGGAACUGAGUGCACCUGAAUUUGUAAAUGGAUUAUAGUUUGAUAGACAAAGUAUAUUAUUUAAGUUUAGCUUUUAGCUGAAUAUAUCUUUUGCUUAUUUGCUUUAGGAUUUGACUACUAACAUCAAUCACGCAAAUCAGAGAUAGCAAUUUUUUUCUCUCAUGACUUUGCUUUUCAGGAAUUACCAAUGAAUAAGUAUAAAGCCUGUUUGGAUUGACUUAUUUUAAGUGCUUUUAAGCACUUUUGUAGUGUUUGGGUAAAA